CGACCAUUUUCUAUGGUGUGAGAUCGAGACAACACGGAAUGGGAUCUGAUGUUGGGAGUUACAGAGGUAAUUCAUGGCAGCAGCUCUUUGAAAAGGAGAUCCGAAAUUCGUUAAUCUUCGGGUUGCCGGCAUCAAUCUGAGAUGGUGAAUCAAAUAGAUGGGUAUUGAUUAUUUAUGUUGUUGGUGCUAGAAUUUUGAAGACGAAUUGAUUGGAUAUGGAGUGGAUCUACUGUGAGUUUUUGAUUCUUAAGCAGGUAGCGGCUAAGUUUGGGAUUGCUUUGCAAUUAGUGAUUGAGAAAUGACAGUAGGUGAAGAGAAAACUGUGAAGAGAGAAUGGAGAUGGAAUUGAACUGCAACAGCGGCAACGGAGUUGGGGGUGUUGAUUUAUUUUAGUGACAAGGGGUUCUCGCCAUGUAACCGUAGGCUGAAAUGGGUUCUGGUUUAAUUGGUUUUCUAUGGAGUUGUACUAUGGAAUUCGGGUCUGCUGGUAUGUAUCAAAUGAAGGAGAAUCUGCUGGGUAUGGUACAUACGGUGGUGAACUGAGAGCUUGGGGGUUGUUCAUUUGUACAUUAAGAAGACACAGCAGAAGAUUGAGGAGUUAUCUGUUAACUGAACUUGUUCCGUUUUGUAUGGGGUUAAGAGCAGCAGUCGAUUGCAUCUGGGUUUAAUUGGACAUUUGAGACAUUAGACUUAAUUGAGAUGAUGUGCCUGCGAAGAAAAGAUGGAGAUUUCGAUGGGUAAUGGAGAUGCCAAUCAGGCUUCUAUGGAAAUGAUGAUGGUUAGUGUGUUGUUCUCAUUCAUAGCAGUGGGGAAUUGUGCAGCCAUACAACAGCAAGAAACGAAAGUGGAGAUGUGAAUGAAGAUGGAAUGAAGCUUGGGUUAGUGGUAAUCUGUAUUGUGCACACUGGAAUUAGUGAUGAUCUAUAUGUGCUGACAUUUCUAUGAGGCUAAUGUUAUCACUGGGUGAAGAUGAGAGAAAGAAGGUAUGUAUCAGUGGGUUAGCCGAUUGUGGCUGAGUUAGUUUUGCCUGUGAAGGAAGACGUUCAGAUGGUCCAGUGCUGUAGUUGGAUUGAGGAAAGAGUAUUCGGAUUUGAAAUGGUUGGGAGAUGGGUUCUGUACAGGACCUGGAUUUGGCUAUUGGUGUUCGUAUUCAGAUUUGGCUAUUGGUUUUGCCUGUGAAGGAAGACGUUCAGAUGGUCCAGUGUUGUAGUUGGAUUGAGGAAAGAGUAUUUGGAUUUGAAAUGGUUGGGAGAUGAGAUUUGUACAGGACCUGGAUUUGGCUAUUGGUGUUCGUAAUUGGACCGGGUUUUGGAGGUGCUGGUAGCAGUCACAAAGAGAGAAUUGAGAUGCAUAUAUAAACGAAAGGCAGAGACGAAUGGAGGGAGGCCGUUUUACAAGGAAGAAACUAGGUUUAAGUUUUCUUUCCUUUUACUAUGAUUAGAUCAUUAUUUUCUAUAUCAAUUUCUAUGGUUUUUGAGAAAGCCAUGACUUGCUAAACCUUUAUUAGGGUGACAGGAUGAACUUGUAGGCUAGAUUAUUUGUGUUUACAAACAAGAGUUUCUUUAAUCAAAAGCUUAUUGUUAUGUUUGAGUAUCUCACAUAUUGGUUGUUGUUUUAUAAACCUUUUCAUGUUUUAUGCCAAGUAUACUACAUAGGGAAGUUAUAGACAAUCCCAUUGUGACCUGAUUGAUAUUAGAUUCAUGAACACUCUUCUACUUUGUAUGCCUUCGAGAUCAAACAGUUCUUAGUCGAUUAUCAAUAAAUCUUAACGACAUAUCUUCCAUGUUUAAGUAGCCAGGCGUUGCCAUUGUACAUGAGUAAAAUAGAGACUCUCGUGAUAAAUCACAAGUAAAUCUAGCCUAUGAAGGAUUUCCGGAUCCUUGACCCUUUUUUCAUCUUGCUCGCCACUUUAAUAAUUUUGUUUGCAUCCAAUUUAUUUGCUUGUUUUUUUUAUUAGGAAGUUGAUUGUAUUAGUUAGAAGUAGUUUAGAAAACUCCUUGUGGGAACGAACCACAUUUGCUGUUGUCUACAAUUUGGACACCGUGCGCUUGCGGUAAAACAAAGUCGGUUCUCCGAUACAUCAAGUUUUUGGCGCCGCUGUCGGGGAGUGGCUGGUAACUACUCUAGUUGAUACUUUUUAAAUCCUUUUUAUCUCUUUAGUUUGUUUGAUUUUCAGGUACCUUAGGAGCUAAAGAUUGCUCAGCCACAUAAGUUCUGUGAAAUAAAGUGUUAAUAUAAGAGCGUCGCGGGUGCAAUGGAGUCACUAUGAACAAAAGAAGGAGAAAAUAUCCAUUUGGAGCGUAAAAGGCAAAGAGGUCAAUUCACAUGGGAGCUAUACUCGGAGCGGGCUAAGGUGCACGAGAAGGAGGUGAAAAUGAACUGUCAGAGGAUAUCAACUUCCAUUCUAACACAAGACCUAAGAAUCAGAGGAGCAAUGAUCUUAUCAUUAGCCUUCCUUUCUUUCAUUAUACCCGAAUUCAGAAAUUCAUAGAAGAGAUGAACUAAUGGCGGCACCCAUUGAAGAGCAGAGAAACUGAGAGAUUCGAUGGCAGAGGACUACUACUUGGAGUUUUGGAGGAGAGCGGCGAUUCUACUAGGGUUUGUUUUUCGUAUAUUUUUCAUUUCUUUAUUUUAUGAAAAUGAUUAUGAUGAACUUCAUUACUAUGAGUAACUAAAUACAAUUAUUGGUUAUGGGAUAAAAGUUGAUUUCUCAAGCAUGAUAUUUAAAUCAAUGGAUUAGUUUUGUCUCAA